UCUCCUUCAAGCGACGUAUCAUUUAUUUCACAUGGUGGACCUACUAGCAAUGAGGUCCCCAGAUUUUAAACGAGAUAUCAGCUCGGUAGCCUUAACAGAAACUGUUAUCAGUGUACGCCGGUGCAGUGCUCUCUGCAGAAGACUUCCAAUGCAUACUUGGCGCCCCAUAGUGGAGGUAAAGAAAGGGCCGUAAAUUUGGUGUAAUUUGAGAACUCACUGACUGGCCAAACUGACCAAUCGGGGGAGAAGGGCCUUGGUGAGGGAGGUGACCAAGAACCAGGUCAUUCUGGUGGAGUUCAAGAGUUCUUGUGUGGAGAUGGGAGAACUUUCCAGAAGGACAACCAUCUCUAGCACUUUACCAAUCAGGCGUUGAUGGUUGAAUGGCCAGACAGAAUCCACUCCUCAGUAAAAGCCUCAUGAAAACCUAUUACUUGACAGUCUUUUACUGAGGUAGCUACAAAAGUUAAUAUUCCAAACUAAUUAUUGUGAAACACGGCACUGCUCAUUUAUAAUAUAUGUAUGAAUACACCUUAUGAUCAAGCUGGCUUGUUGCCUUAACUGUAGUUACUAAGCUAGGCUACCUAACUAGCUAACUAUAUAUCUGCUAACCUACAAUUUAGCCUGCUUCAUUAAGAGUAAUGAUCUAGAUUUAAGACUGACUGCUUUUGAAACAGAUUUCUUUGCGUUGCUGCUUUUGGUUAGCUGUACACAGUAUUUGCUGUAAAAGUAGUGUUGCUUCAACAACAGGCAGUACAAAUCUGGCUUUGUAAAACAACAUUAGCUAGCAGCUAUUAACUUAGUAACUUAGGUGGAAGAUAUUUAAAAUGUGCAUGUGCUGAACUGCUUAGCAGCAUUCCUUUCAUGUCAUAUGAAGGAAGUAAAUGUGACUGUCUGUUUGUGAUAUUGUGAAAUCUAAUCAUUGGUGCACCAAAUACUUAGCUAGAUGAAAAAUAAAACUGCUCAACAAAGAAUAUCAACAUCAUUUACACAUUUAUUGAUUUAGAUUGUGGUUUCAGACUGU